rnacentral:rRNA from 1 species
AUGCUUCUCCUAAAGACUAAGCCAUGCAUGCCUCCGAAUAGAAGAGCUUUCUCUCUGAAUCUGCGAACGGCUCCGCAAACCAGUUGUAAACUAUAGCGAGCAUGCCCUCGGGUUGGCCGCAAGGCUCGCCCGGAGGUAAUAAGGAUAACCCUGGUAAUUCUGAGGCUAAAUACAAGAACGUAACACCUGGCUGACCGGCAACGGAAGGCUGGGGGACUGCGAUCAGUCGUAAAGUUUACUGGGAAUAGAUG